UGCUCUGGGGAGUGCCCAGGUUGACGAUGAUGAUUACUCGGGAGCAUUAUAUGGAGGGAUUAUCUGUUUAUACAAUGAAGUACUAGUACAUGUCUUCGCCGCCAAGUCUAGCAGCAAUCCGAUUGGCCUACUAGCUUAUGUCGGUGAAUCUGGUUGGGACGGGCCCAUGCAUCUGAACCCUGACGAUGCCAAAUCGGGUCACGUCCGUGUGAGGGCAUGGAGGGCGUGGGAUUUCCCCCGACCUGAUUUCUACCAUCCGUGGACGGAGCUUAAUGUUCUAAACAAUAAUUUGAGUUUCCACGAGAUACAACACAACCUUGGUAAAUAUCCUGAUUACGUCAUCGUGCAGAUUAACGGCAGCAGGUCGGGUAUGACAGGAGAAGCA